rnacentral:rRNA from 1 species
GCAGUAGCCGCGGGAAUACGGAGGGAGCUAGCGUUGUUCGGAAUUACUGGGCGUAAAGCGCACGUAGGCGGCUUUGUAAGUUAGAGGUGAAAGCCUGGAGCUCAACUCCAGAACUGCCUUUAAGACUGCAUCGCUUGAAUCCAGGAGAGGUGAGUGGAAUUCCGAGUGUAGAGGUGAAAUUCGUAGAUAUUCGGAAGAACACCAGUGGCGAAGGCGGCUCACUGGACUGGUAUUGACGCUGAGGUGCGAAAGCGUGGGGAGCAAACAGGAUUAGAUACCCGGGUAGUCCCUGUCUCUUAUAC